UACAUGGGGUGCAAACGUUGCUCGGAAUUAUUGGGCGUAAAGCGCGCGUAGGCGGUUACUCAAGUCGGAUGUGAAAGCCCUCGGCUUAACUGAGGAAGUGCACCCGAAACUGAGUAGCUAGAGUACCAAAGAGGGUCGCGGAAUUCCCGGUGUAGAGGUGAAAUUCGUAGAUAUCGGGAAGAACAUCCGUGGCGAAGGCGGCACUCUGGGACGGUACUGACGCUGAGACGCGAAAGCGUGGGGAGCGAACAGG
rnacentral:rRNA from 1 species